UACGGAGGGUGCAAGCGUUAAUCGGAAUUACUGGGCGUAAAGCGUGCGCAGGCGGUUUGUUAAGUCCGCUGUGAAAUCCCCGAGCUCAACUUGGGAAUUGCAGUGGAUACUGGCAAGCUGGAGUAUGGUAGAGGAAGGUGGAAUUCCCGGUGUAGCAGUGAAAUGCGUAGAGAUCGGGAGGAACACCAGUGGCGAAGGCGGCCUUCUGGACCAAUACUGACGCUCAUGCACGAAAGCUAGGGGAGCAAACAGG
rnacentral:rRNA from 1 species